ACGAACGCUGGCGGCGUGCCUAAUACAUGCAAGUCGAGCGAAGUUUUUCUGGUGCUUGCACUAGAAAAACUUAGCGGCGAACGGGUGAGUAACACGUAAAGAACCUGCCUCAUAGACUGGGACAACUAUUGGAAACGAUAGCUAAUACCGGAUAACAGUAUUUCUCGCAUGAGAGAUAUUUAAAAGUUAGUUAUGCUAACACUAUGAGAUGGCUUUGCGGUGCAUUAGCUAGUUGGUGGGGUAAAGGCCCACCAAGGCGACGAUGCAUAGCCGACCUGAGAGGGUGAUCGGCCACACUGGGACUGAGACACGGCCCAGACUCCUACGGGAGGCAGCAGUAGGGAAUCUUCCGCAAUGGGCGAAAGCCUGACGGAGCAACGCCGCGUGAGUGAAGAAGGAUUUCGGUUCGUAAAGCUCUGUUGUUAGGGAAGAAUGGAUAUGUAGUAACUAUACAUGUAAGAGACGGUACCUAACCAGAAAGCCACGGCUAACUACGUG
rnacentral:rRNA from 1 species